rnacentral:tRNA from 1 species
ACACCUAUAGCCUAGUGGUUAAGGCUUUGUUUUAUAAGUAAGAGGUCUAAGGUUCAAUUCCCUUUGGUUACA